AUUCUCUUCGAGGUAGACUAGCUCCUCAAUGUCAGUCAGAUAUUUCGAAGAUUCUCUACCCAAGCUAUUGUUAAGUUGGUUGUACCUCUGAUCUUCCUCCAAGAAUGCAAGACAACCUCCUCUAAGUCUGGUUCUUUAAGCCACCAAGAUUCAAAUCUGAAAAUUUUUGAGCAUGUAAACUUUAAGUUAUAUUUCCAUGCAAUCAAUGUAUGAUUUGAAGCAGGAUUUGCC
rnacentral:lncRNA from 1 species